rnacentral:rRNA from 1 species
CGAUUAGGUAGUUGUGGGUAACGCCCACCAAGCCGAAGAUCGUACGGGCAUGAGAGUGGGAGCCCGGAGAUGACACUGAGACACGGUCAGGCCCUACGGGGCGCAGCAGGCGCGAACCUCGCAAUGCGGGCAACCGCGACGGGGGGACCCCCAGUGCCGUGGCAUCGCACGGCUUUUCGGAGUGUAAAAGCUCCGGGAAUAAGGGCUGGGCAAGGCCGGUGGCAGCCGCCGCGGUAAUACCGGCGGCCCGAGUGUGGCCGCUAUUAUUGGGCUAAAGCGUCCGUAGCCGGGCCCGUAAGUCCCUGGCGAAAUCCACGGCUCAACCGUGGGGCUUGCUGGGGAUACUGCGGGCCUUGGGACCGGGAGAGGCCGGGGGUACCCCUGGGGUAGGGGUGAAAUCCUAUAAUCCCAGGGGGACCGCCAGUGGCGAAGGCGCCCGGCUGGAACGGGUCCGACGGUGAGGGACGAAGGCCAGGGGAGCGAACCGGAUUAGAUACCCGGGUAGUCCUGGCUGUAAAGGAUGCGGGCUAGGUGUCGGGCGAGCUUCGAGCUCGCCCGGUGCCGAAGGGAAGCCGUUAAGCCCGCCGCCUGGGGAGUACGGCCGCAAGGCUGAAACUUAAAGGAAUUGGCGGGGGAGCACUACAAGGGGUGGAGCGUGCGGUUUAAUUGGAUUCAACGCCGGGAACCUCACCGGGGGCGACGGCAGGAUGAAGGCCAGGCUGAAGGUCUUGCCGGACACGCCGAGAGGAGGUGCAUGGCCGCCGUCAGCUCGUACCGUGAGGCGUCCACUUAAGUGUGGUAACGAGCGAGACCCGCGCCCCCAGUUGCCAGUCCUCCCCGCUGGGGAGGAGGCACUCUGGGGGGACCGCCGGCGAUAAGCCGGAGGAAGGAGCGGGCGACGGUAGGUCAGUAUGCCCCGAAACCCCCGGGCUACACGCGCGCUACAAUGGGCGGGACAAUGGGAUCCGACCCCGAAAGGGGAAGGGAAUCCCCUAAACCCGCCCCCAGUUCGGAUCGCGGGCUGCAACUCGCCCGCGUGAAGCUGGAAUCCCUAGUACCCGCGUGUCAUCAUCGCGCGGCGAAUACGUCCCUGCUCCUUGCACACACCGCCCGUCACUCCACCCGAGCGGGGUCUGGAUGAGGCCUGAUCUCCCUUCGGGGAGGUCGGUCGAGUCUG